GCCGAGGUAGCUCAGUCGGUAGAGCAGGGGACUGAAAAUACCCGUGUCGGCAGUUCGAUUCUGUCCCUCGGCACCA
rnacentral:tRNA from 1 species